AAAUGAAUGAACCACUUGAUUCAGUUUGUGUUAGUAUGGUAGCUAGUGCCUAUAUAACCCUAUCUAACCUAAAUUGAAUGAAUCUACAUGGUAUCCAAGGUAACAGUUUUGAUUAACUUAAAACAUUUUGCGUGGUUUGGCAAUACCGCUCGAAAUUUAACCCUGAAAAUGGGGAUUUUUCUCAAAGUAUAUGAAUGUUUUUUGGCUUAAUUUAUGAAUCGUUGGAUAACAUUUUCACUGAGGGUGCUUAAUUUGAAGUGAUCUUUAAGGUAAGGAGGUAAGGCAACAGUUUUGGUGGCUUUACUGGAGCGGUUGAAAUUACUCUAGGUACAUUUUGGUUGGAAACGGGGCUAACUUCCGCAUAAGUAGUUUUAACGAUUGUACAUUACCUUUGUUGGCUUUAAUUAGUUUUGCAGCUGGAAACACUUUGUUCGCUGCUCUGUUUUUGAGAAAUUCUGCCUGUUGCCUCAAGAUUUCUUCGUCGUCCUCAUUAGUAUUUGGACGUUUUAACGAUGCCAUUGUGGUUGCUUCCAUGCAAUGUAAUCAGUUUAAAGGUAUAUUCGAUUUAUUAAUUACAGUUUUGUUUAAGAUAAAGUAAAUAUUUGGUUGCAAGAAACUUCACAUGUGCCGCACAUUGUUAACCUAAACCGGAGACUUUAUCUAUGUCUCUGCCUAACCACAGACCUCACUAUCAUAGAUAAAGACAGGCUCACUAUUCAUAGAAUAAGGCUCACUAUUAUAUAGACCACAGACCAGGACCACUAGCGCAUAUAUGCUAACUUGACUCGUUGUUUUGGUUUAAAUGACAUGCACAAGUUAGUUUGAGGUUACGUUAAUCAAAACAAACUUCUAUUUACCAAAACGGCAUGAUACAAUGAAUACAAGGACGACUGAGCCAACGAUUAAUCGGAUAGCGAGUGUUUAAUUUUGCAUUCAAAAGUCGCCCCAUGAACGGCGAUUUUUGUUCAUCUUUCUUUACCCGAGAAAGUAACUUUAUUUACGCUAAAUAUUCAAACCACUUCGAUCGCCGACUGGAAAUUUGCAGAAAAUCGUCAUUAAGAAAAAACUGAAAUCGAACAGCAUAGCAAUACAAUGAGUCACCCAAAGGGCUAGCGAGCAAACUAUGAUUAUGUAAGUUCUGUAGGUCGGUGGGUUUUUUAUGUGAUAAACACCUUAAAUUCG
rnacentral:lncRNA from 1 species